AUGUACAUUAGUUUUUCUUAUUUUUUCGGUUAGUUUGUUAGUAUCACACAGUUAAGUUUUCAGCCCGGAUUUGAGCCACUGUCAGUGUUGACACCAACUCUAGUGUGUGCCACUGAUUGGUGGCGGGCUAGCUUUCAUUUUUUGGGCAACUAUGAUAAUGAUUCUUCAACAUGUAGGCUACGGAAUACUAGGGAUGAUAUCUUGGGAGAAGUCCUUUUGAGUCUAUUUGAAUUUCUGCAGGGGCAACACUUUGGUUUCAGUAGUUUGUUAAAAGGUGAUUCAAUUCUAUAGUUAAUAAUGGUUGCUAAAUGCUAAAUUUUGAUGAGCUAUGUUUUAUCUUUUGACAAAAAUGCAAAUUUUGUGAAAAGUGGAAACUAUACAUGUCUCACUUUUAGUUAUAAUUUUUUUUUACAAAUAUUGGUAUUGCUCUAUUUUUUAUGUACUAAACUAAGUUAUACUAUCACGUAAAGAUGCAUUGAAUAUUGAUGUCACAUAAAGUUCUACCAAGUUAUAAACAUCACUCGAGAAACUAAUCUUAAUUAUUGUCAUUAUUUAUUAUUAAUCCACAAUGUAUUGGUUAUUGUAUUAUAUAUGUUGACAUUUAGUUAUCGAUGUUGUGAUUGUCAUUCAUAACCUAACAUAAAGCGGAACAAUUUAUAAUCUAAUAGACGAGUAUAAUGAUGUAAAUUAUCGACUCCGUCGCAACGCGCGAGUUUCCCACUAUAUAUAUAUACACAUGUAUUUUCUUUGGGCCUAGCCCACAUCAUUGUGUUAUUGGGCUUAAACCAAGUAUUUAUGUCAUUGGGCCUAGCCCAUGCCUUUAAGUUAUUGGGCCUAGCCCAUAUUCUUAUUGUAUUUGGGCCUAGCCCAAAUUCUUUAUUAUAAAUGGGCUUUUUCAUAAGUGUUUAUUGUAAUGGGACAUGCCCAUGUAUUUAGGAGAUUGGGCCUAGCCCAAUAUUUAUUAUUUAAGCCCAAGUUUUGUGUUCUUGAAUUUUUUGUAACCUUUACUAAGUAUAGAUUACUUAAUUAAACAUUCUAGUAACUUGUAUAAUUAUCCUUCGUGUCGUUUACAUAUUAAACUUUCCGGUUUUCAUUGUCGUUAGUAUAUAUAAAUUACGUGUCCAGAAAUAUUUUAUUUUUAGACUUGUCGUCGUAAUCGGUUAAUAUGUAACUUUUGUGUCGAAGUUGUCCAAAUGUCGUAGUAACUUCUCGUGGUGCCGACACUUCCGUUUCUUCGAUGAAACAUACAUUGUUAUUUUGUCGACACAUAUAUGGUUAUGAAAAGUGUCGUCCGAUGUUCGUCGUCCGGUGUCUGCGUCUUGUUUUAUGAUAUCUCAUAAGUGUGUGUUUUAAGUGUUUGCGAAGGUUCGCGACUGUCGUCAUACUUGGAAAUGUUCGUGAAGUUUUUGGUUAUGGUGUAAGUGUAUAUUCUUCAUGUGUAUUGUACAUAAUAUUUUAGUAUGUAUUCCUAGCACUAAUACAUACACAUAUUAUACAAAUGUUAUACACCAAAUAAAGUAUACAAACUAUAUAAUUUUUACCACAAUUAUAUAAACAUACACCUAUUAUUUUUACCUAUUUAUUUAGUAAAAAUAUAUGUGUGAGUUUAUAAAAACUCUUGGGUGAUUAGGGCUUAACCCUUUUCGUUAAAAUUCCUUAAUGAUAAUUAAGGUUACUAAUCACGUUUAACCCUCUUAAUCACCCCGCUAAUCUUAAUUUAAUCGUGAUUAGAUUUUUAGAAAAUUUCGCCAUAGUUUCCCCUAAACUAUGGUGUUUUCCCACGUUCAAAAUGCGUUUAAAACAAUUUUUCAAUUUCCAAUCAUCAUCAAUUUACUAAUCUCUUGAAAAUACAUUUUCAAGUAACAAAUACUACAAUUUACUUCCAUACUUCAUGAGCUUUUAUACAUUAAAUUUCCUAAAAGUUUCAAGGCAUUUAUGUCUUAAAAAGUUAAGACUUUUUGAGUGUAAUUUUUAUAACCAUUUUUUAGAUCACUUGUUUUAUUUAAAAACCAAGCUUAUCUAUAUAACUAUAUAUAAAGCAAAUGUGGUGUACAAGCAUGUAAUUUUACAUCGUGUCCAACACUUAAAGCGAUAUUUACAACCAAUGAAUACUUGUUUGUGAGGGUAAAAUUGAAAUGAGUGUAAAAUUUUAAGACACUAUAAGGGUAUAACAGUAAAUUACACCUACACCCUAUACUCACACACUCAAAAUCCUUUCCAGCCCUGCCCUCAAGAAACCCAAUCGACAUCCUCAUAUCCUAUCCUGCUCCGCCCCCUCUUUCAUAUUCCUUUAAAUGAAUUCAUAAUGGAAACCCCUACAUCUACCCCUUUCACAUUCACUGCUUCAUCAAGAGACAGAGAGAGAUCGAGCAACCCACCAUAGUUUCCUCUCUGGAUCUUUGAAUUCCUGGAAUGGUCGCUCACGAUUUCUUACUCUUUGUGUGGUUGCAAUCUGUGGGAAAAAAGAUACAGAUGAAGAUGGAGCGAGGGAAAUCAAAUUCACUGGCAAUAAUACUGGAGAAGUUUGAAUCUAUUAAUUCGUAAUGAUUCAUGAAUUGGGUUAUGUUGUGGAACGUCAUGAGUAUAUGGGAAGCUUUUCUCGAUUUCCUUGGAAGUUACAUACUCCCAGACAUUCGAUUUAUGCAUCAAUUGUGCUUCUAUUUUGUUUUAAUUUGGAUGUCUGGCUGUAUUGGGCUGAUUGCUUCUUCUAUUUUGCUUUUGAUUGAUUUUGGACAAGAGGCAGAAGAAGACCCUGAACAACUCUUAAGAAGAAGGUAUGGUAACUCCGUUGGUUCUCUCAUCUCUGUAGAUGUUGUCAAGCUCGAGGGUUUGAGAACUCUUUGUGGCUCAAAAUGGGUUGGAUUGGGUUGACCCGCUAUAAGUUUUUUCCCCAUUCUAUUUUAUAACUAAGACGAAGCCAUAAAGAGGCAAAAACUUAAAGUCGUGUCUGAUUUAAUGAACUGAUUUGUAAAAAUUGUAAUUUCGGCAAAGGUGAUGAAUUGAUUGGCGACAAAUCAGAUUCUGGUCAAGACUAGGGUUUCGACGAAUACUUCGGUAAGGCUGUCAGUUGCAUGGUUCUAUUUUUGUUUACAUUGGUAACGUCAAGGAUGUUUGGCUUCUGUUUCAGUGCCUUGCAAUUACUCUGGCUACGAGCUUGGGCGCAACAGAGGUGACAGAGACGUUAUGGUCUUCCUAUGGGAUAAUGAUGGUGGCCUGAUUAGAAUAAGCUUUGUAUUUACCCCUUAUAAUAAUCUGAUAUGCUGAUUAAAAUAAUUAAGAAAGCUUUAUACAU